rfam:Gossypium hirsutum cultivar TM-1 chromosome 3, whole genome shotgun sequence
AGUUAAAAAUUUCAUCCAUUUGUACUAUUAAAAACUACUAUGGUUGAUGAAAUAACAAAAUAGUGACACGUAACGUGCCAUGCGUACCUCAUGCCGAUGUAAAUGGACCAAUUUUUAACAGUAGACAUAAAUGCAAUUUUUAACA